GGGGAUUUAGCUCAGUGGUGUGAGCGCCUGCUUAGCAAGCACAAGGUUGUGAGUUCAAUCCCUG
rnacentral:tRNA from 1 species